rnacentral:tRNA from 1 species
GCGCUCGUGGGCCAACUGGACGGCCAGCGGAAUUCUACUCCGCCGCAUGCGGGUUCGAGUCCUGCCGAGCGCGCCA